rnacentral:lncRNA from 1 species
GUGAGCUUAGGUUCAGGAAGAGGUAUAGGUAUCCGAGUGACGAAUGGCAUUUUGAUCAUCUCCAUCCUUUCCUUUACCCAAUGAAGAUAUGGUUCUUUUGUAAUCCCAUUAGCUCUUCCCAAAUCAGCUCUCCCUUUUUGAUUGACAUUCUUCCAAGACUCUCUGAUUCGUUGGAACAAGCUAGGAUUCUCAAUCCCAAAGUCAAGCAACAAGA